rnacentral:rRNA from 1 species
AUUAAAGUGGCCUUGGCCAUGAACAUGGAUGGACCUGCGGUGCAUUAGCUAGUUGGUGAGGUAACGGCCCACCAAGGCGACGAUGCAUAGCCGGCCUGAGAGGGCGGACGGCCACAUUGGGACUGAGACACGGCCCAAACUCCUACGGGAGGCAGCAGUAGGGAAUUUUCGUCAAUGGGGGGAACCCUGAACGAGCAAUGCCGCGUGAGUGAGGAAGGUCUUCGGAUCGUAAAGCUCUGUUGUAAGAGAAAAACGGCACUCAUAGGGAAUGAUGAGUGAGUGAUGGUAUCUUACCAGAAAGUCACGGCUAACUACGUGCCAGCAGCCGCGGUAAUACGUAGGUGGCGAGCGUUAUCCGGAAUGAUUGGGCGUAAAGGGUGCGUAGGUGGCAGAUCAAGUCUGGAGUAAAAGGUAUGGGCUCAACCCGUACUGGCUCUGGAAACUGAUCAGCUAGAGAACAGAAGAGGACGGCGGAACUCCAUGUGUAGCGGUAAAAUGCGUAGAUAUAUGGAAGAACACCGGUGGCGAAGGCGGCCGUCUGGUCUGGAUUCUGACACUGAAGCACGAAAGCGUGGGGAGCAAAUAGGAUUAGAUACCCUAGUAGUCCACGCCGUAAACGAUGAGAACUAGGUGUUGGGGGAAUAACUCAGUGCCGCAGUUAACGCAGUAAGUUCUCCGCCUGGGGAGUAUGCACGCAAGUGUGCAACUCAAAGGAAUUGACGG